UACGGAGGGUGCGAGCGUUGUCCGGAAUCACUGGGCGUAAAGGGCGCGUAGGCGGCAGGCCAAGCGUGCGGUGAAAGUCCGGGGCUCAACCCCUGAUCUGCCGUGCGGACUGGUUUGCUAGAGCACUGUAGAGGCGAGUGGAAUUCCGGGUGUAGCGGUGGAAUGCGUAGAGAUCCGGAAGAACACCGGUGGCGAAGGCGGCUCGCUGGGCAGUGGCUGACGCUGAGGCGCGACAGCGUGGGGAGCAAACAGG
rnacentral:rRNA from 1 species